UGCCUAAUACAUGCAAGUCGAACGAGUUCUUGUUGAUGAUCGGUGCUUGCACCGAGAUUCAACAUGGAACGAGUGGCGGACGGGUGAGUAACACGUGGGUAACCUGCCCUUAAGUGGGGGAUAACAUUUGGAAACAGAUGCUAAUACCGCAUAGAUCCAAGAACCGCAUGGUUCUUGGCUGAAAGAUGGCGUAAGCUAUCGCUUUUGGAUGGACCCGCGGCGUAUUAGCUAGUUGGUGAGGUAAUGGCUCACCAAGGCGAUGAUACGUAGCCGAACUGAGAGGUUGAUCGGCCACAUUGGGACUGAGACACGGCCCAAACUCCUACGGGAGGCAGCAGUAGGGAAUCUUCCACAAUGGACGCAAGUCUGAUGGAGCAACGCCGCGUGAGUGAAGAAGGCUUUCGGGUCGUAAAACUCUGUUGUUGGAGAAGAAUGGUCGGCAGAGUAACUGUUGUCGGCGUGACGGUAUCCAACCAGAAAGCCACGGCUAACUACGUGCCAGCAGCCGCGGUAAUACGUAGGUGGCAAGCGUUAUCCGGAUUUAUUGGGCGUAAAGCGAGCGCAGGCGGUUUUUUAAGUCUGAUGUGAAAGCCCUCGGCUUAACCGAGGAAGCGCAUCGGAAACUGGGAAACUUGAGUGCAGAAGAGGACAGUGGAACUCCAUGUGUAGCGGUGAAAUGCGUAGAUAUAUGGAAGAACACCAGUGGCGAAGGCGGCUGUCUGGUCUGUAACUGACGCUGAGGCUCGAAAGCAUGGGUAGCGAACAGGAUUAGAUACCCUGGUAGUCCAUGCCGUAAACGAUGAAUGCUAGGUGUUGGAGGGUUUCCGCCCUUCAGUGCCGCAGCUAACGCAUUAAGCAUUCCGCCUGGGGAGUACGACCGCAAGGUUGAAACUCAAAGGAAUUGACGGGGGCCCGCACAAGCGGUGGAGCAUGUGGUUUAAUUCGAAGCAACGCGAAGAACCUUACCAGGUCUUGACAUCUUUUGAUCACCUGAGAGAUCAGGUUUCCCCUUCGGGGGCAAAAUGACAGGUGGUGCAUGGUUGUCGUCAGCUCGUGUCGUGAGAUGUUGGGUUAAGUCCCGCAACGAGCGCAACCCUUAUGACUAGUUGCCAGCAUUUAGUUGGGCACUCUAGUAAGACUGCCGGUGACAAACCGGAGGAAGGUGGGGAUGACGUCAAAUCAUCAUGCCCCUUAUGACCUGGGCUACACACGUGCUACAAUGGAUGGUACAACGAGUUGCGAGACCGCGAGGUCAAGCUAAUCUCUUAAAGCCAUUCUCAGUUCGGACUGUAGGCUGCAACUCGCCUACACGAAGUCGGAAUCGCUAGUAAUCGCGGAUCAGCACGCCGCGGUGAAUACGUUCCCGGGCCUUGUACACACCGCCCGUCACACCAUGAGAGUUUGUAACACCCGAAGCCGGUGGCGUAACCCUUUUAGGGAGCGAGCCGUCUAAGUGG
rnacentral:rRNA from 2 species